GGGCGGGGUUGUCGGCGGCCGCGGCGGCGGGGGCGUCGGGGGACGGCGAGCGGUGGUCCGCUGCCGCCUUGCUCUUGCGGCCGCGCUUGCGCUUGCCCUUGGAGGCGGAGCCAUCCAUGGUGGGGGCGGGCUAGGGUUUCGCGGCGCCGCGAGCAGGGGGGGCGGGCCGAGGAGGACGAUGAGGAGGAGGCCGGCUGGGUGGCUCGGUCGGAGUGUUAUGAAGAGCCGUCCGGUUCGACCCGGGAC
rnacentral:lncRNA from 1 species